rnacentral:lncRNA from 1 species
CAUAGCCCAAUUUGUCUGUAACUUUGCAGAAAAGGCCCGGGCACUGGUGAACGCUGCUGUGACUUAUGCAAAGCCUGGAUUGGCCACAUUUUGGUACUACGCCAAGGUUGAGCUGGUUCCUCCCACCCCUGUUGAGAUUCCCUAGAGCUAGUCAGAGCCUGAAAACAAUAGUCAAUAGUGCUCAGACUGGUAGCUUCAAACAGCUCACAGUUAAGGAAGCUGUGCUGAAUGGUUUCGUGGUCGCUGAGGUGUGGAUGUGGUUUUGUGUUUAGCCAAGUGAGGCGUGAAUGGUUAUAAUGUUUAA